CCGAGUAUGUCACUGUACGACACACAAUAGAAAAUGGUGACAUAGUUUUAUCGAAGUUCAACAUCAUGGAAAGAGCAACUUUAAAGUUAUUUUGCGAUAGUCAAAGCAACCCAUCAUCAGCAUUUUCCUGGACAGGAUCGAACAUACAGCAGACUGGAAGUGUUCUUCUCCGCAAUAAUAUAAGCAGAUCGGAGAAGGGUCAUAUGUCGUGUACGGCUAAAAAUACAAUGACGCAUAUUGACCAGCCUGUGGAAGGAUUGUCGUCUGCAAAUAUUACACUCAACAUUCUCUAUUCGCCACGGUUGCAUCAACUGUCCCGGCUUAACGCCCUGGAAGGUGAAAACAUAACUCUGAAAUGUGAAUACGAGCCAGGUAACCCUACAGAAACAACAGUCUUAAUUGCUCGGUUAAACGACCGAAUUACCUGGACCGAUGGAAUACAUUUCAUUCCAUCGCUGAAGAGAACCGAUGCUGGUAUGUACAAUUGCACAGUUCGUAACAUCAUGCACCCAACGGGACAACUGAAUGAAAUCGUUGGAGAGGAUACAGGAAUUUUUCAGGUUAACGUAUGGUACAAAACUUCUGUGUCCAAGUUUGGUUUAACCAGUCAUCCCGACGCGAAUAAUGUUACUGUUGAUGAAAACGCAACUCUUAACUUCUUCUGUGAAGUUGACAGUAACCCAAACUCCACCAUUGUAUUUGGAAGAUUGGACAGGCUACUGAACAACACUACUCUAAAAAAGAACAACGGGUUUCUUCAUUUGCCAUUUGAUGUUCAACAAGCUGACUGUCUUGAUACAGCAAGCUACUAUUGUUUUGGGUAUAACAACUACACAGAGAUUGAGACGGCACCAAGGAAACAAAUGGACGUGUUUGUUCGAUGUUCACCAAGAGCAUCAGGAGGUCAGUGGGAAAGCAACAUUACAGGGGCUGCUGGCGGCAAUGCAACGUUUUCCUUUGAUGUAGUGGCAUAUCCUGUUCCAAAUAAAGACGGAUAUGUAUGGCACAAAUGGAAUGGGACAACGUAUUCUCAACUUUACAACAGUGACAAAUACACAAUCAACAAUGCAGGUGUUUCUACAACAUUCACCAUCAAUGCUAUUGAGCAAGAAGAUUUUUCAACCUAUCUGCUAACGGUGUCGAAUGGAAUAUUUCCAGACUUCAACACAUUAUUCAACUUAAGAUCUCAAGAUGUCCCUCAGUGUCCAGCCGAUGUUACAAUUAGUGCAACGACCUCGUCUUCAGCUGUUGUGGAGUGGAACAGUCAAUUCAAUGGUGGACUUCAGCAAACAUUUGUUAUUUUGUACAAAGCGAUUGGAAGUUCAGAUUACUUGGUUCUUACAGAAGAUGAGCUCGAGAGACAGAAGACACAUUACUAAGUAACAAUAACGGGAUUAAAAGACGGAUCGACUUAUGAUGUCAUUAUGUUCUCAAGAAACGAAAAAGGAAAUUGUAAACAAAAUAAUUCACUCCAAUUCGACACAGAACUUCUUGUUGAUGACCCGCCGCUAUCAAAUGCAGCAUUGAUCGGAGGUUUGGCUGGUGGUAUUUCUGCAGUUUGCGUUGCAUUCUUCGUCGUCGUUGUUGUUCUCUUCAUACGGAAAAGAAUGUCUUAUAAAAAAGGUGAAUCUCGUCAGGCACUUACCAAGGGCCAGUAAGUAUAUAAGUUUCGGUAAAAACAUACAAGCUAAUAAUUAGAUAAAUUCUCUUUUACGAGACAAAGCGAUGCAAAUACAUAAGUUACAAUGUAUCAUGGACAGCACUUGCGUCAAACUAUCUUUAUUGAUACAUGUUUGGAUUACCUCCUUAGAACGCUCAGCGAAACAGGAGUUUAUUUUGAGUCAGAAACACCAACAAAUCUUUGUCAUGAUUGAAAGGAAUUUUAAUUACCUAAGCCUCAAAGAAAAGACACACUGGUAGUUUCAAUCAGUUAUUGUUAUACUUGACCAACUAUUUGUUUUGCAUUUAUUAUCACUGAUAUGGAUUACGGCGUUGCCUCCACGAGCUAGUAACGUUAAUAAUUAAACAUUGACGUACUCAAAACAAUGCACUGUCUGGUAUGUUUGUUUCAAAAUUCUUUUUAAAAACAUCUGAGACAACCGAAGGCUACUAGUUGAUGAUUUAAUGGAACACAAUAGCUAAGUACUUUCUCCCAGGGAAAUCGAUGACAACAAAUCUCAAACUGUUGUGGAAGAAAAAGCCAUCAAUGCGUACUGUAAGAGAAGUAACUGUCAUUAAUGUUAGACCGUAAGGGAACGUUUCUUGCCUAUCACUGAGAGAGAAAGGACGUGCCAUUUUAAUGUAAGGAAAUGUUUGUAAAGCACCAAUUUAAGGUUGAGCAAACGCCAAUAAUGUGUAACAAUAACAAAAGCGAAUACCACUAACGUACAACUCGAAAUGAAGCGACGGCCACUAACUAACACUAUAAGGAAAACAAAUGAAUUAACAUGCCACUAUAAGGGAAGCAAAUCACUAACCUACCACUAUAGGGAAGGCAAAGACAACUAACAUACCACUCGAAGAGAAGCGAAGGCACCCAACCUACCACUAUAAGGAACACGAAGAUCACUAACAACCACUUUAAGGAACGCAAGUACAACUAAUGUGCCACUUUAAGGAAAGCGAAGAAUAAUGACGUAUCAAUCGAAGGGAAGCAAAUGCCACUAACCGAACCUCUUUAAGGGAAGCGAAGGUCACCAUUAAGACACGCUUAAGGAAGUGUGAGGAAGGAAAAGGCUACUUACACGCCACUUCAAAGGAAUAUAAAGCCAUAGCACAUCAUAGAAAAGUAAAGGCCACUAAUGUAUUGCAGUAAGUAGAGAAGGGACCACUAACGUAACAUUGUUAAGGAAGCAAAGACCACUUACAGGUGGGAAACAUAGACUACGCACAACCGAAGGGAAGCAAAGGCGAGAGUGUGGUAUUCUGUUGUAUGAAGAAUCCGGAGAAAACCCCGCUUUGUGAAAGCCAACUAUACUCGCAUGUGCCUAGGCGUGGAAUCGAACCCGUGUUGCGUUUUUGAGAAGAAAAUGAGCUAAGGCUAAAAAAUAAUGAUUUUGUUAUGGUAACAUCCUUUUUAAAAACAGGUUGGGUAUGUUGCCAUUUUAUAAAGCUUAAUGUAAGAAAGCUUUUGUCAUUGGAGAAUUGUAUUGAAGUAAUCUUCUGUCAUAAGGUUUUAUUCUACAUAUUUAGACGCACGCGUUAAAUACAUAAGAAAUAUUAUGAAAUAUUACAAACCAAUGAGGGUCAAAUGACCUUAUAUGGCAUUUUUUAAGACCGGCAAGGCAGCCACCGAAAGUGUAUAUGGGCCGAGGCGUUAGCGGAGGUACAUUUACCUUCGGGGACUAACUGGCCAGUCCUUAUAAUGCCAUAUGGCACGAAUUGGUGUGUUAAUAUUUUUUAUAUCAUACAGAACAUUUUAUAUUACAAUCCAAUAGUUUUAAAGCACUUAAGAUGUAUUUUAUUGAACAAAGCUAAUAAUGUUUACUUGCGACAAAUUUACGCAGUUGUGAAAAUAGCAAGCCACCCUUACAAUAUGACGUCAGCGUUCCAUAGUACAUUUUUGGCGAGGUCCGGACCUGCCAAGAUAUGAUAUGGACCGCUUUUAUCAAAAUACAGUAGUUUGCGGUCCGAUCGACAUUUUAUAUACAAAGAAGGGCCAGACACAUACACACGCACGCACGCACGCACGCACGCACGCACGCACGCACGCACGCACGCACGCACGCACACACACACACACACACACACACACACGCAAACACACACAUAUAGCUUUGGCCUCAACAAACACAUUUGUUAUAUCAGGUUUUGUCCGUAAAGUGGUCACCAAAAUAAAAAUAAAUAUAUAUGAUACAAACUAUAAAUAGAGUGGUGAAAGCGAAAAGGUUCUAUCUGCUUCUUUAUUUAAUGUCACUUAGAACCUUUUCGCAUUCACCCCUCGAAGUAUACAUUAUGGGCAAUUGAUCAGAAAUGCACGUAUGCACUGACUGACUUGUGCAAUGCAAAUUUAUUAAAUACAGGUCAUAUGAUGAAGUUUAACGUGGCAUCCUAAUACUUGUAUUAAGUCAAUAAAUAGUUGCAUAAUUUGUAUAUGCUUUUUCUAUCAAACAGUGUAUUCACGUUUCUAAAUCCGUUUGACAGUGACCAGUGCAAGGCUAAUGUUUAUCAAAGAAAAGUUAAACACUUUUUUAACAGUGACCGUGGUUUAUACUUGGGCAUUCACCACGUCAUGGGCCCGCGUCGUCAUGAUACUAAUUUUUCACAUUCAUUUUGCUUUUAUAACAGUGUAUACACAAUACCAGAUGUAGUGUAUGGUGAUUCUCGAAAAUGUUUGUUCAAAUCGACGAAAAAAUAGACAAACAUACUCUUUUUUGGACAUGUCUUUCAUAUGUUUUGUUUCGAACGCUGUAAAAUGGCGACAAAGUAUGUUUAUGUUGUUGAGAUUUGGGGUAUGAAUAUUUGUUAUAGUUUAUACUAUACUAAGUAUCAACAUUUUACUUAAUACUUUAACCACUUCAGAAGAGGUUCGUGUUUAAUUAACUGUUUUUCCCUCUAAAGGACGUGUAAUUAUCAUAAUUUGUUCAUACCAUUUUCUCGGUAAGUGACAAUGUCGUAUUAUCGAGUAUUUCCAUAUCGACAUUCAUAGGGUAGUUCACAUUCAGAAUAUGCCAGUAAUUUUCGGACUUGCACGCGCCUGAUCAGAUCUUAUUCCGACAAACUGAACAAAAUGUGUUGGUGUCUGUCAUUUUGAUAUUUGAAAGUAGUAGUACCCAUUUAUACUUUUCACAUGUGUAUCGUAGGACUUUUUUAAGUUUAUAAACAAUAUAAAGUUUGCGAAAACACAAGCAAAUUUUACAAAUAUAUACGAUCAUACUCAUAUGAAUUCAUUCUUCAGAAAACUGCGGACUUUAAAUGCUGUCGAAGAAGAUGCAGAUGAUCUCCCUGAUGAGGUUGAAAAUCCAAUGUAUGAAAGCUCACAACCUGCAGCAAUGAAGCAGGACUCUCCUGAUGUCCUUUACGCGUUGCCCAAG